GACGAACGCUGGCGGCGUGCUUAACACAUGCAAGUCGAGCGGUAAGGCCCUUUCGGGGGUACACGAGCGGCGAACGGGUGAGUAACACGUGGGUGACCUGCCCUCAGCUCUGGGAUAAGCCUGGGAAACCGGGUCUAAUACCGGAUAUGACUCCAUGACGCAUGUUGUGGGGUGAAAGCCUUGUGCGGCUGAGGAUGGGCCCGCGGCCUAUCAGCUUGUUGGUGGGGUGAUGGCCUACCAAGGCGACGACGGGUAGCCGGCCUGAGAGGGCGACCGGCCACACUGGGACUGAGACACGGCCCAGACUCCUACGGGAGGCAGCAGUGGGGAAUUUUUCGCAAUGGGGAAACCCUGACGAAGCAACGCCGCGUGGAGGAUGAAGGCCUUCGGUCGUAACUACCUCGUC
rnacentral:rRNA from 1 species